CCGAUCACUUCUUUAAAGUUAGCAUAGCUUUAAGCUUUUUCGGUUGAGGGCCCUAGAGAGACACUGCGGGAGGAAGGGGCUCUGCUGCAGUUUCCAGCUACGGCGUGACCGUGGCUGGGCGUGGCGGGUCUGCAGAGUGGGCACAGAGGCACCCGGUGCACUGUGGUCCCAGCCAUGUGCCCAGAGCUCACAGACCCUGGUGACCUUGCAGCUUCAGCCUGGCCAUAGCCUUCCCGUGCCCUGUUGAUAGGGACACUGGCUCCUGCUCCUGUUGGUGCCCCUUCCCUCGGCAGGACCCUCAUGUCGCCUGCGCUUGGUCCACCUGGCACCUGGAGGUUUCCCCUGAGUGCAGUCCCCAGGCUGAGGUCUGCAGAAUUGCUUCCAGCUCGUCCAGUGACUGCAGGCCAGCGCUGGCCUGGACAAGCCCACAAACGUCUCUGCUACACCUUCUCCGAUGAGGUGUGCACCCCAGCCUUGGGGAAGGGUUACCUUUCCAGGCAUGUUCCUCCUUGCAUGUUCUCCCCCGGCCCUGGAGUUUUAUAGAAUUUUGUUUUAUUUUCAUUAUUAUCUUAUCAUAGUUCACGAAUUCUACUCAACCUCCUCUGCUUAGCUUAUUGUUUGGUUUCUGCUUCCUAAUAGGACCUAGGUAGAUGCACAUGGGUGCGUCUGUGACCCUCCAGAGGCACUGAUGAGUUUUACGGGGCUGUCACUCAAGUUUACUUUUGCUCUCAAGUCUGUGGUAUUGGGUUGAUCCCCUUUGCUGUGAGCUGUAGCUUUUUCUCCCAGAACUUUGACUUGAUGUUCUUUGCCAGACCAUCCUCAGAAGUUUAGGGUGCAAUUGAGAGGGGGCUCUCCAUAAGCCAGGACAGGUGUAACCUGGGACAGACGCUCUGGUGACUGUUUGCGGUUUGUGCUCAGCUGGGGCUCCGUCCUGGCUGCUGUGCCCCUGCUCCUGGGCCAGGCCUGUGCUCCGAGACCAGGCAUACCUUUCCACACCACUGCCGCUUCCCCGGCUCUCCCAUCCCUUCGGUCUUCCCUUGGCUUCUGGGUUCAGUGUGGCUCCUGCUCAGUGAUGCGGCAUGAAGAGGCUGGACCCUCUUCAUCUUCUUUUUCUGAACUCAGGCUGGGUUUUCCUUUUGCUGAUUCUUUUGAACCAUCCCUAGAGUGGCUCUUCCACAUUUUUGUGCCCUGGCUUUUCACCCUGCAUCGAGCCAUUUUUCCUAUUCUCUUGUCAAAGUCGGGAUUACCCAAAACAAUUUCCACAUCUUCCUCCUUCCUGGCUCACAGGGGGAGUGAUUUUCUGCUCAUCCCGUUCUACAGGGAGAUGUCUGUCUUUGCUAAGCCAGACCCUUCCAUCUGGGGUUUGCUUGGCACAGCCCUGGGGCUCACGCCCGGUGUCUUGCCACCCACAGUUUCCCCCCAUUUAGCACACUACUGUUCACAGACAGCCGGUGACGUUUACAAUACAAACACAAAAUUGUUGCCUGUGGGUAAAAGCUCCUCUUUUUGAGAAAUCUUGAAGUUCUGUAUCUGGAUAAUAUUUAGCAUUUUAACAUAUGUCUGUAUCCUUUCCUUGAUACUUUGUUUUUCAUUCUUAUCCAUGUAACAUAUGCACGCAUUUCUGUGUGCCUCGGGGGAAGAAUGUGGCAGGACAGAAAGCAGAAUCUCUAGGUUAUGUUCCCGAAUGUUCUAGGUUAUGUUCCCGAAUGUUCUAGGUUAUGUUCCCGAAUGUUUGGUGAUGGCAGACAGAACAGGAUGUCAAGCCUAAACAGAACAUCCUCACGAAACGAGAUCUUCCUACGUCAGAGCACAGUGUUUCUCCUGGGCAGAGAGGUGAUAAGGCCAUGUACCUGGAAAACCCAAGCAACCGUAUUUGAUAAAGCAAAUAACAACUUGAAUUUGAACAGGAAAUAACAACUUGAAUUUUUGUCAUGUGGACAAGAACAAGCUCAGCACUCAGAGAGCAACGGCAAAGACUGAACAGAAAACUCAAAAGAACAAAUCCAGGUUGGCUAAGAAACAAGAAAAGAUAAUUAUCGUCCUUAGUAAUCAUGGAAAGGCAAAUUACAGCAACAGGAGACACCGUUCUUACCAGGUGGGCAACAAGAAGGGAGAAAAAUACAGGAUUUUUCCAAACAGACUUGGGGAAAGUGACUUGACAGACUCUCUUCACAUGAAAAACCGACAGACCUCUCAACUCAGACAUUCUCCUCUUGAGGCUGUAUUUUGGGGCAAUAAAGGCACGAGAAUGUGAGACCGUGCCUGCGAGGCUGUGGUCCUUCAAGUAAGGAUGUAGGAGAGCCCGUAUUUCACAAGGACGAAAACCUGUGAACAAACAUCGACUAGGACUCGCUCUAGUUGCUUGAGGCAGGAACAGCCCAAAUAACAGACUAACAUGGCUGAAACAAACUACAAGUUUACUCCUCUCACUGGAUGGACACCCAGAGGAAGGCGUUCACAAGUGGAUCCGUGAAGGGAACAGGGACCCGCGUUCCUUCCUGCUCCCCGCGGCUGCUCACGGUCAGGCUUCUGCAUGAAACGCCACCGUUUUAUCCAUCAGGACAGCGUUGGGGGCAGGAUCUGGGAAGGAGACGUCUCCCUUCUUCGCACCUUACAGUGACUUCUCAGAAGAAGGACACAGCCAGCAGAGCCUUUCUCCGUACGUAUUCCCCCGUGGGACAGGUGCGUUUUGUUGGUGAUAACGUGCCCGCUCCAUGUCAAGUGAUUUGGGGAGGCACCUGCCGUCUCUGCAGCACAGACCAGAGCAGGGGACUGCCACCGACGGAAGUGAUGAGGUCUGUGACAGCUGGAGGGGCCACGGCAGCUUUACGAAGUUUUCAGAAUCCAUAAGCGACUUAUUUCUCUUAAAUUUAUCUUUCCUUGAUUCACAAGGAUGGUGAUUAACACAGAAGUGUGGUUUAAGAGAACCCUUAAAAGCUAAAACAUGAAAUGAUCAAUAUUGCGUUUUUGUGCAUGUGUCAGAUUUUCCU